GUGCCAGCCGCCGCGCUAAUUCCAGCUCCAAUAGCGUAUAUUAAAGUUGUUGUGGUUAAAAAGCUCGUAGUUGAACCUUGGGCCUGGCUGGCCGGUCCGCCUCACCGCGUGCACUGGUCCGGCCGGACCUUUCCCUCUGUGGAACCCCAUACCCUUCACUGGGCGUGGCGGGGAAACAGGGCAUUUACUUUGAAAAAAUUAGAGUGCUCCAGGCGGUUCUAUGCUCGAAUACAAUAGCAUGGAAUAAUAAAAUAGGGCGCGCGGUUCUAUGUUGUUGGUUUAGGGAGUGCGCCGUAAUGAUUAAUAGGGACAGUCGGGGGACCUGGAAUGAACUGGCAAAGAUGAAAUUCUGGGAUCAAGGAAGAUUACCUAGGGUGGGAAGCGUUUUGCGAAGAAUUUUUUCAAUAUGUGAAGACCUUACUUAGAACGAGCCCAGAAAGAUCGGACCCUUCCGAAAGAGAAGCGUAAUGGGAGUGAACUUGGUGAAGAGAUGGGGAAGCCAGGAGGGACGGCGUGACUUCGGGGAGGUAUAACGCCCGGGUCGGGGGAACAGUGUCUCGAACUCAGCAGAUAAUAGUAGGUUAGAGAAAUUAAGGGUACUGAAGUGCGCAUUUCGAAUACGUCUAAUCUGAACAUACAGAAUAUAUGAGGAAAUAUGAGAGAGGAGUAAGAUAGUGAUGUAUAGUGUAAAUUGUUUAAGGAUCGGAGUUUAGCAUGAUAUUAGAGUGCCGUAGGUGAUCAAGAUACGAGGAUACACGACAUGAAAUCGACAACUCCUAACCCGCCCUCGCGCCUAAUGAGUCAUGUCUGUAGUAGUGCACGG
rnacentral:rRNA from 1 species